AUGACCCCGGCGAGCAGGACAACUCGGACAACAACACGAUCUUCGUGCAGGGGCUGGGCGAGAACGUCACCAUCGAGUCCGUGGCCGACUACUUCAAACAGAUCGGCAUCAUCAAGGUACACGCGUGCCCUUGGCGUGUUCGGGGUCCCUGGCGGGUCACUGCGUGUGCUUGGUGUGUCAGCACAUGUGAUUGAUGUGUUCUGGGUCCUUGGUGUGUCACCGCGUGUGCUUGGUGUGUUAGCACGUGGCUUUGGCGUGUUCCUGUGGCCCUGGCGUGUUCUGGGCCCUUGGUGUGUCAUCGCGUGUGCUUGGUGUGUGUUUGAGCCCUUGGUGUGUCACCGCAUGUGCUUGGCGUGUUCGGGGUCCCUGCUGUGUCACCGCGUGUGCUUGGUGUGUUAGCACGUGGCUUUGGGGGGUUCCUGUGGCCCUGGGGUGUUCUGGGUCCUCGGCGUGUCACCGCGUGUGCUUGGCGUGUUCUGAGUCCUUGGUGUGUCACCACAUGUUCUUAGUGUGUGUUUGAGUCCUUGGUGUGUCACCGCGUGUGCUUGGUGUGUGUUUGAGUCCUUGGAGUGUCACUGUGUGUUCUUAGUGUGUUCUGAGUCCUUGGUGUGUCACCGCGUGUGCUUGGUGUGUUUUUGGGUCCUUGGUGUGUCACCACGUGUGCUUGGCGUGUGUUUGAGUCCUUGGUGUGUCAGCACAUGUCCUUGGUGUGUCAGCACAUGUGAUUGAUGUGUUCUGGGUCCUUGGUGUGUCACCGCGUGUGCUUGCUGUGUGUUUGAGUCCUCAGUGUGUCACCGCGUGUUCUUAGUGUGUGUUUGAGUCCUUGCUGUGUCACCACAUGUCUUUGGUGUGUCCCUGUGGCCCUGGCGUGUUCUGAGCCCUUGGUGUGUCACUCUGUGUGCUUGGCAUGUUAUCACCUGUGCUUGGUGUGUUCUGGGUCCUUGGUGUGUCACCGCGUGUGCUUGGUGUGUUCUGAGCCCUUGGUGUGUCACCGCGUGUGCUUGGCGUGUUCGGGGUCCCUGGCGUGUCACCGCGUGUGCUUGGUGUGUUAGCACGUGGCUUUGGGGGGUUCCUGUGGCCCUGGGGUGUUCUGGGUCCUCGGCGUGUCACCGCGUGUGCUUGGCGUGUUCUGGGUCCUUGGUGUGUCACCACAUGUUCUUAGUGUGUGUUUGAGUCCUUGGCGUGUUCUGGGUCCUUGGUGUGUCACCGCGUGUUCUUAGUGUGUGUUUGAGUCCUUGGUGUGUCACCACAUGUCCUUGGUGUGUCCCUGUGGCCCUGGCGUGUUCUGAGCUCUUGGUGUGUCACUCUGUGUGCUUGGCAUGUUAUCACCUGUGCUUGGUGUGUUCUGGGUCCUUGGUGUGUCACUGUGUGUUCUGAGUGUGUGUUUGAGUCCUUGGUG
ensembl:lncRNA